AGACGAAUAUAGAAACAGCAAGCG
rnacentral:piRNA from 1 species